AACCUUGUUCAGCAAGAGAAUGCAGAAUUACAGAAUAAGAGCAUUCCCCUACUAAAUACAUGACGAGCAGGUGCGUUUAAUGAGUUAAAGGAGUGUGGAAUUUUUUCAUAAGCUGCAGCGAGUUGUCGACAUAUUGGUUAUCAUAGACGAAGAGGCUAAAGAGUUUUUACUUCUAUGCGAAGCAACUUCCUAGUUCUGGUGCAUGCAUUCUAAGAUGUUGUUUUGAUACUGCACUUUAGAUAGUAUUGAUUUGUGGGCUGCUUUGUAAAUUUUAGAAUGCUAUUGACAUUUGACUUUAGUUGUUUUGAGGUAUUGAAAUAGAGUUAUGAUGGAUGAAUGUUGGUAUUUUUGAAAUUAUAAUAUUUGUUUUACUUGUGUUGUUAUUUUUGUUUGUGGAGAAA